rnacentral:rRNA from 1 species
CAAGUCGAACGGGCUAGUGCUUCGCACUAGUCUCGUUUCUGGGGUUGUUACUCUAAGGCUACCUGCUGAAGUUAUUGCUUUAAAGCAGGGGUUUUAGGAGGCUUUCUCCGAAAAGGGGCCAGUGCGGAGCACUAGCCAGUGGCGAACGGGUGAGUAACACGUGGGUAAUCUACCCUCGAGUGGGGAAUAAGCUUCCGAAAGGGGGUCUAAUGCCGCAUAACGUUUCAUAACGAUGGUUAUGAAACCAAAGCCCAAAAGGCGCUCGAGGAGGAGCCUGCGUCCUAUCAGCUUGUUGGCAGGGUAAUGGCCUACCAAGGCUAUGACGGGUAGCCGGCCUGAGAGGGUGUCCGGCCACACUGGAACUGAGACACGGUCCAGACUCCUACGGGAGGCAGCAGUGGGGAAUUUUGCGCAAUGGGGGAAACCCUGACGCAGCGACGCCGCGUGGAGGAUGACGGCCUUCGGGUUGUAAACUCCUGUCAGAAGGGACGAAAUCCCGCAAGGGACUGACGGUACCUUCAGAGGAAGCCCCGGCUAACUACGUG